rnacentral:rRNA from 1 species
GACGAACCGUACGAACGUUAUUCGGAAUCACUGGGCUUAAAGGGUGCGUAGGCGGUGCGGAAAGUUGGGUGUGAAAUCCCUCGGCUCAACCGAGGAACUGCGCUCAAAACUACCGUGCUUGAGGGAGACAGAGGUGAGCGGAACUUAGGGUGGAGCGGUGAAAUGCGUUGAUAUCCUAAGGAACACCGGUGGCGAAGGCGGCUCACUGGGUCUCUUCUGACGCUGAGGCACGAAAGCUAGGGUAGCGAACGGGAUUAGAUA